GGAAGUUGCUGUGAGGAUACAAAGCUCCCUCUUCUGAUAUAAGGUUGAGGAAAUUUGUUGGCAGAAUCGAACCUAAUAUUUAUCGCCACUACUGAGCAA